GAAAAGGCCACAAAAACGGGUGGGCUAUAGCCUUGGGCGGUGGGGCUGGGCAACUUCGAUCGCUGGACUCGGAAUGGCGCGAGACUUUGCGAGGCGCCUCCGUGUGCCAAAAAUAGGCCGCGCGCACAGCCGCGCCCAAAAAUAACCGCGCCAAGACCGGGGCGCCAAGUUCGUCCAGCGGAAAAAGCCCACAAAAACGGGUGGGCUAUAGCCUUGGGGGAUGGGGCUGGCCAACUUCGUCCGCCGGACUCGGAAUGGCGUGAGACUUUGUGAGGCUCCUCCGUGUUCCAAAAAUAGGCUGCGGGCACAGCCGCGCCCAAAAAUAACCGCCCGAACUCCGGGGCGCCAAGUUCGUCCAGCGGAAAAAGCCCACAAAUACGGACGGGCUAUAGCCUUGGGGGGUGGUGCUGGCCAACUUCGUCCGCCGGUCUCGGAAUGGCGCGUGACUUUGCGAGGCGCCUCCGUGUAUGAAAAAUAGGCCGCGGGCACAGCCGCACCCAAAACUAACAGCCCGAAGGCCGGGGCGACAAGUUCGUCCAUCGGAAAAAGCCCACAAAAACGGGUGGGCUAUAGCCUUGGGGGGUGGGGAUGGCCAACUUCAUCCGCCGGACUCGGAAUGCCACGAGACUUUACGAGGGGCCUCCGUGUGCCAAAAAUAGGCCGCGAACAAAGGCGCGCCCAAAAAUAACCGCCCGAAGGCCGGGGCGCCAAGCUCGUCCAGCGGAAAAAGGCCACAAAAACGGGUGGGCUAUAGCCUUGGGGGGUGGGGCUGGCCAACUUCGUCCGCCGGACUCGGAAUGCCGCGAGACUUUGCGAAGGGCCUCCGUGUGCCAAAAAUAGGCCGCGAACAAAGGCACGCCCAAAAAUAACCGCCCGAAGGCCGGGGCGCCAAGUUCGUCCAGCGGAAAAAGCCCACAAAAACGGGUGGGCUAUAGCCUUGGGGGAUGGGGCUGGCCAACUUCGUCCGCCGGACUCGGAAUGGCGUGAGACUUUGCGAGGCUCCUCCGUGUUCCAAAAAUAGGCUGCGGGCACAGCCGCGCCCAAAAAUAACCGCCCGAAGUCCGGGGCGCCAAGUUCGUCCAGCGGAAAAAGCCCACAAAUACGGACGGGCUAUAGCCUUGGGGGGUGGUGCUGGCCAACUUCGUCCGCCGGUCUCGGAAUGGCGCGCGACUUUGCGAGGCGCCUCCGUGUAUGAAAAAUAGGCCGCGGGCACAGCCGCACCCAAAACUAACAGCCCGAAGGCCGGGGCGACAAGUUCGUCCAGCGGAAAAAGCCCACAAAAACGGGUGGGCUAUAGCCUUGGGGGGUGGGGAUGGCCAACUUCAUCCGCCGGACUCGGAAUGCCACGAGACUUUGCGAGGGGCCUCCGUGUGCCAAAAAUAGGCCGCGAACAAAGGCACGCCCAAAAAUAACCGCCUGAAGGACGGGGCGCCAAGUUCGUCCAGCGGAAAAAGUCCACAAAAACGGGUGGGCUAUAGCCUUGGGGGGUGGGGCUGGCCGACUUCGUCCGCCGGACUCGGAAUGCCGCGAGACUUUGCGAGGGGCCUCCGUGUGCCAAAAAUAGGCCGCGGGUAAAGCCACGCCCAAAAAUAACCGACCGAAGGCCGGGGCGCCAAGUUCGUCCAGCGGAACAAGGCCACAAAAACGGGUCGGCUAUAACCUUGGGGGGUGGGGCUGGCCGACUUCGUCCGCCGGACUCGGAAUGCCGCGAGACUUUGCGAGGGGCCUCCGUGUGCCAAAAAUAGGCCGCGGGUAAAGCCGUGCCCAAAAAUAACCGCCCGAAGGCCGGGGCGCCAAGUUCGUCCAGCGGAAAAAGGCCACAAAAACGGGUGGGCUAUAGCCUUGGGGGGUGGGGCUGGCCGACUUCGUCCGCCGGAUUCGGAAUGCCGCGAGACUUUGCGAGGGGCCUCCGUGUGCCAAAAAUAGGCCGCGGGCAAAGCCACGCCCAAAAAUAACCGCCCGAAGGCCGGGGCGCCAAGUUCGUCCAGCGUAAAAAGGCCACAAAAACGGGUGGGCUAUAACCUUGGGGGGUGGGGCUGGCCGACUUCGUCCGCCGGACUCGGAAUGGCGUGAGCCUUUGCGAGGCGCCUCCGUGUGGCAAAAAUAGGCCGCGGGCACAGCCGCGCCUAAAACUAACCGCCCGAAGGCUGGGGCGACAAGUUCGUCCAGCGGUAAAAGCCCACAAAAACGGGUGGGCUAUAGCCUUGGGGGGUGGGGAUGGCCAACUUCGUCCGCCGGACUCGGAAUGCCGCGAGACUUUGCGAGGGGGCUCCAUGUGCCAAAAAUAGGCCGCGGGCAAAGCCGCACCCAAAAAUAACCACCCGAUGGCCGGGGCGUCAAGUUCGUCCAGCGGAAAAAGGCCACAAAAACGGGUGGGCUAUAGCCUUGGGGGGUGGGGAUGGCCCACUUCGUCCGCCGGACUCGGAAUGCCGCGAGACUUUGUGAGGGGCCUCUGUGUGCCAAAAAUAGGCCGCGGGCAAAGCCGCGCAAAAAAAUAACCCCCCGAAGGCCGGGGCGCCAAGUUCGUCCAGCGGAAAAAGGCCACAAAAACGGAUGGGCUAUAGCCUUGGGAGGUGGGGCUGGCCAACUUCGUCCGCCAGCCUCGGAAUGGCGCGAGGCUUUGCGAGGCGCCUCCGUGUGCCAAAAAUAGGCCGCGGGCACAACCGCGCCCAAAAAUAACUGUCCGAAGGCCGGGGCGCCAAGUUCGUCCAGCGGAAAAAGGCCACAAAAACGGGUGGGCUAUAGCCCUGGGGGGUGGGGCUGGCCAACUUCGUCCGCCGGACUAGGAAUGGCGCGAGACUUUGCGAGGCACCUCCGUGUGCCAAAAAUAGGCCGCGGGCACAGCCGCGCCCAAAAAUAACCGCCCGAAGGCCGGGUUGCCAAGUUCGUCCAGCGGAAAAACGCCACAAAAACGGGUGGGCUAUAGCCUUGGGGGGUGGGGCUGGCCCACUUCGUCCGCCGGACUCGGAAUGGAGCGAGACUUUGCGAGGCGUCUCCGUGAGCCAAAAAUAGGACGCGGGCGCAGCCGCGCUCAAAGAGAACCACCUAAAGGCUGGGGCGCCAAGUUCGUCCAGCGGAAAAAGGCCACAAAAACGGGUGGGCUAUAGACUUGGGGGAUGGGGCUGGCCAACUUCGUCCGCCUGAGUCAGAAUGGCCCGAGACUUUGCGAGGCACCUCCGUGUGCCAAAAAUAGGCCGCGGGCACAACCGCGCCCAAAAAUAACCGACCGAAGGCCAAGGUGCCAAGUUCGUCCAGCGGAAAAAGGCCACAAAAACGGGUGGGCUAUAGCCUUGGGGCGUGGGGCUGGCCAACUUCGUACGCUGCACUCGGAAUGGCGCGAGACUUUGCGAGGUGCCUCCGUGUGCCAAAAAUAGGCCGCAGGCAAAGCCGCAACCAAAAAUAACCGCCCGAAGGCCGGGGCGCCAAGUUCGUCCAGCGGAAAAAGACCACAAAAACGGGUGGGCUAUAGCCUUGGGGGGUAGGGCUGGCUGACUUCGUCCGCCGGACUUGGAAUGCCGCGAGACUUUGCGAGGGCCCUCCAUGUGCCAAAAAUAGGCCGCGGGCAAAGCCGUACCCAAAAAUAACCACCCGAUGGCCGGGGCGCCAAGUUCGUCCAGCGGAAAAAGGCCACAAAAACGGGUGGGCUAUAGCCUUGGGGGGUGGGGCUGGCCAACUUCGUCCGCCUAACUUGCAAUGGCGCGAGACUUUGCGAGACACCUCCGUGUGCCAAAAAUAGGCCGCGGGCACAGCCGCGCCUAAACAUAACCGCCCGAAGGCCGGGGCGCCAAGUUCGUCCAGCGGAAAAAGGCUACAAAAACGGGUGGGCUAUAGCCUUGGGGGGUGGGGCUGGCCAACUACGUCCGCCGGACUCGGAAUGGCGGGAGACUUUGCGUGGCGCCUCCGUAUGCCAAAAAUAGGCAGCGAGCGCAGCCGCGCCCAAACAUAACCGCGCGAAGGCCGGGGCGCCAAGUUCGUCCAGCGGAAAGAGGCCACAAAAACGGGUGGGCUAUAGCCUUGGGGGGUGGGGCUGGCCAACUACGUCCGCCGGACUCGGAAUGGCGGGAGACUUUGCGAGGCGCCUCCGUAUACCAAAAAUAGGCAGCGAGCGCAGCCGCGCCCAAACAUAACCGCGCGAAGGCCGGGGCGCCAAGUUCGUCCAGCGGGAAAAGGCCAAAAAAUGCCACAAAAACGGGUGGGCUAUAGCUUUGGGGGGUGCGGCUGGCCAAAUUCGUCCGCCGGACUCGGAAUGGCGCGAGACUUUGCGAGGCACCUCCGUGUGCCAAAAAUAGGCUGUGGGCUCAGCCGCGCCCAAAAAUAUCCGGCCAAAGGCCGGGGCCCCAAGUUCGUCCAGCGGAAAAAGGCCACAAAAACGGGUGGGCUAUAGCAUUGGGGGGUGGGGCUGGCCAACUUCGUCUGCCGAACUCGGAAUGGGGCGAGACAUUGCGAGGCGCCUCCGUGUGACAAAAAUAGGCCGCGGGCACAGCCGCGCCUAAACAUAACCGCCCGAAGGCCGGGGCGCCAAGUUCGUCCAGCGGAAAAAAGCCACAAAAACGGGUGGGCUAUAGCCUUGGGUGGUGGGGCUGGCCAACUAAGUCCGCCGGACGCGGAAUGGCGCGAGACUUUACGAGGCGCCUCCCUGUGCCAAAAAUAGGCCGCAGGCACAGCCGCGCCCAAAAAUAACCGCCCGAAGGCCGGGGCGCCAAGUUCGUCCAGCGGAAAGAGGCCACAAAAACGGGUGGGCUAUAGCCUUGGGGGGUGGGGCCGGCCGACUUCGUCCGCCGAACUUGGAAUGGCGCGAGACUUUGCGACGCACCUCCGUGUGCAAAAAAUAGGCCGCGAGCACAGCCGCGCCUAAACAUAACCGCCCGAAGGACGGGGUGCCAAGUUGGUCCAGCGGAAAACGGCCUCAAAAAGGGGUGGGCUAUCGCCUUGGGGGGUGGGCUAUAGCCUUGGUGGGAGGGGUUGGCCAACUUCGUCCGCCGGACUCGGAAUGGCGCGAGACUUUGCGAGGCGCCUCCGUGUGCCUAAAAUAGGCCACGGGCACAGCCGCGCCCAAACAUAACCGCCCAAAGGCCGGUGCGCCAAGUUCGUCCAGCGGAAAAAGGCCACAAAAACGGGUGGGCUAUAGCCUUGGGGGGUGGGGCUGGCCAACUUCGUCCGCCGGACUCGGAAUGGCGCGAGACUUUGCGAGGCGCCUCCGUGUGCCAAAAAUAGGCCGCGGGCACAGCCGCGCCCAAACAUAACCGCCCAAAGGCCGGUGCGCCAAGUUCGUCCAGCGGAAAAAGGCCACAAAAA
rnacentral:lncRNA from 1 species